rnacentral:tRNA from 1 species
GCGGGCGUGGCGGAAUUGGUAGACGCAACGGACUUAAAAUCCGUCGACUUCGGUCAUCCGGGUUCGAUCCCCGGCGCCCGCACCA